GCUUUCAACAUCCCCGUCUCGAAGGCGAAGGACGGUGCCGGCGAAUAGCCGACACCAAACGACCUUGUGAGACUGAAGGC
rnacentral:sRNA from 1 species